rnacentral:sRNA from 1 species
UGAUAAUGAUGAUGAAAA